UACGUAGGGGGCUAGCGUUGUCCGGAAUCAUUGGGCGUAAAGCGCGCGUAGGCGGCCCGGUAAGUCCGUUGUGAAAGUCAGGGGCUCAACCCUUGAAUGCCGGCGGAUACUGUCGGGCUAGAGUCCGGAAGAGGCAAGUGGAAUUCCCGGUGUAGCGGUGAAAUGCGCAGAUAUCGGGAGGAACACCUAUGGCGAAGGCAGCUUGCUGGGACGGUACUGACGCUGAGACGCGAAAGCGUGGGGAGCAAACAGG
rnacentral:rRNA from 1 species